GAUGAACGCUGGCGGCGUGCUUAAUACAUGCAAGUCGAGCGAACGGACGAGAAGCUUGCUUCGCUGAUGUUAGCGGCGGACAGGAGAGUAACACGUGGAUAACCUACCUAUCAGACUAGGAUAACUUCGGGAAAGCGGAGCUAAUACCGGAUGAUAUUUUGAACCACAUGGGUCAAAAGUGAAAGACGGUCUUGCUGUCACUUAUAGAUGGAUCCGCGCUGCAUUAGCUAGUUGGUAAGGUAACGGGUUUCCAAGGCAACGAUGCUUAGCCGACGUGAGAGGGUGAUAGCCCACAUGGGAACUGGGACACGGACCAGACUCCUACGGGAGGCCGCAGUAGGCAACCUUCCGCAAUGGGCGAAAGCCUGACGGAGCAACGGCGCGUCAGUGAUGGAGGUGCUCGGAUCGUAAAACUCUGUUUUUAGGGAAGAACAUAUGUGUAAGUAACUGUGCACAUCUUGACGGUACCUGGUCAGGAAGCCCCGGCUAACUACGUG
rnacentral:rRNA from 1 species